GGUGGGGGUGGGGGUGGGGGGUGGGUGGCGGACACGACCCGGCCCCUUUCCCUGGCGCCUGGCGCUACGAGGGCCGGUCGGUUGGGGCCGCCCCUGCCCCAAUGCCCCCGGGCGGCCAGUCCGCGUGGCGGGCCCGCAGUCGGGGGGACAAGGAAUGGGGGUGCGGCGUGGGCGGGUGAGGGCGCAGGCCCCCUACCCGGGCUGGGCGGGCACGGCUUGGGCAGGCGUGGGCGGGCGAGAGCCUAGGCCCCCUACCCCGGCUGGGAGGGCACGCCGACGCCGGCUCUUCACCAGGCGGCGCUCUGCGGGAGGAGGCGGCCGGCGGCCCGGCUACGUUACUAACGAGAGCGAGGCUGCGCGGCCCUGGCUGAGCAAGGGGCCAGGGCUGAGUGACCGGCGGCACCGGAGGGCCCGGAGGCUUGAACAGGGGGACCUGGCUGGGACUGGACAGGGCAGUUACCUGCUCCGCGCGGCUCCCGCGGCCCCCCGACUCCCGCGCGUCGCCUUGGAAACCCGCGCGCGAGGCCUCCUGGGACUGGCUGAGCCGCGGGAUAGGGCCGCGGGCGCCGCGAGGUCCACGCGCUUGCGCACUGCUGAGCGGAGCGUAGAGAAGCCUGCCAAGUAGCCUCUCGCCUGCCCACCUGUGCGCCCGGGGCCCUCCACCUUCGCCCUGGCCGCGUCUGGGGCUGGCGAACCGGUCCCGCGGCGGGCCCGCCGUUCCUUCACGCUCUCGGUUGCGCUCGCCCCUGUACCGGUGUUUUGAAUCCGAGUCCCCUGCGCGUAUGUGGUUCCCACGCCUGCGCGGUGCGUGGACCCCGAGCCGGGCGCUCCAAGUUGGAUGCGGGCAGGUUGGGAAAGAGUGGACCCUGCCAGGUGGGUGUAGACGCUGGGUUCCCCGGGAAGGGGGUGAGCCCAGGCAGGCGGGCGUGGAGUCGUCGUCCCUGUCUGGAAAGGGAGUGGACAGAGACCAGAGAGCUCCUGUUAACCUCUCUCUCUCUCUCUCUCUCUCUCUCUCUCUCUUUUUUUAACAUUUAUUUUUUUUUUGAGGUACAGAGACAGAGCAAGAGUGGGGGAGAGGCAGAGAGAGGGAGUCACACAUUCCAAAGCAGGCUCCAGGCUCUGAGCUGUCAUCACAGAGCCUGAUGUGGGGCUCGAACCCAUGAACCAUGAGAUUGUGACCUGAGCCAAAGUCAGACGCUUAACUGACUGAGCCACCCAGGCAUCCCAACCUCUCUUCACAAAGAUGGAUUUCUAUGGCUCCAACAGAAGACUGUCCACAGGAAAGAAUGAUCGAUUCCAGCCCCAACAGCGAAGAUGUGCACUGCGUCUCCGGCAAGAAAUUGGCCACUCCUGCAACUCAGUCAACGAGAAUCGGUCCUCACCGUGAACUCUUGCUUUCCUGGAUGUACUUUUGAGCCAUUCUCAACUUUUUCCUUCUCCAUAAAAUACCGUUCCUCUCCUGUUUGUUGGACUUGCCUAAGGUUUUGCCAUCAUUCAGAUGUCCCAAGUUGCAAUUCUCUGUUAUUCCCGAAUAAACCCAUUUGCUGGUAAGAUAA